rnacentral:miRNA from 1 species
AGCAGAGCCAGGGCAUUGCAUAACUCUAGUGGUGCCAGAGUGUGAAUGGUGCCCCCUGGAGUUGUGCAGUGCACAGACUGUAA